rnacentral:rRNA from 1 species
GACGAACGCUGGCGGCGUGCUUAACACAUGCAGGUCGAACGGAAAGGCCCUGCUUUUGUGGGGUGCUCGAGUGGCGAACGGGUGAGUAACACGUGAGUAACCUGCCCUUGACUUUGGGAUAACUUCAGGAAACUGGGGCUAAUACCGGAUAGGAGCUCCUGCUGCAUGGUGGGGGUUGGAAAGUUUCGGCGGUUGGGGAUGGACUCGCGGCUUAUCAGCUUGUUGGUGGGGUAGUGGCUUACCAAGGCUUUGACGGGUAGCCGGCCUGAGAGGGUGACCGGCCACAUUGGGACUGAGAUACGGCCCAGACUCCUACGGGGGGCAGCAGUGGGGAAUAUUGCACAAUGGGCGGAAGCCUGAUGCAGCAACGCCGCGUGCGGGAUGACGGCCUUCGGGUUGUAAACCGCUUUCGCCUGUGACGAAGCGUGAGUGACGGUAAUGGGUAAAGAAGCACCGGCUAACUACGUG